UACGUAGGGUGCGAGCGUUAAUCGGAAUAACUGGGCGUAAAGGGUGCGUAGGCGGAUGAAUAAGUUAGAUGUGAAAAGCCUGGGCUUAACCUUGGUCGUGCAUUUAAGACUGUUAAUCUAGAGUUUGUAAGAGGGGGGUAGAAUUCCAGGUGUAGCAGUGAAAUGCGUAGAGAUCUGGAGGAAUACCGAAGGCGAAGGCAGCCCCCUGGUAUAGAACUGACGCUGAGGCACGAAAGCGUGGGAAGCAAACAGG
rnacentral:rRNA from 1 species